rnacentral:tRNA from 1 species
GGAGACGCCGACCGAUUCGGCUCCGUCCACCCCGCUAAGGUGGAGUUCCCGUAAGGGAACCGAGCGUUCAAAUCCCUCCGUCUCCGCCA